rnacentral:misc_RNA from 1 species
GAUGAAGAACGUAGCGAAAUGCGAUAAGUAGUGUGAAUUGCAGAAUUCAGUGAAUCAUCGAAUCUUUGAACGCACAUUGCGCCCCUUGGUAUUCCAUGGGGCAUGCCUGUUCGAGCGUCAUUUGUACCUUCAAGCCUUGCUUGGUGUUGAGUGUUUGUCUCGCCUCUGCGCGCAGACUCGCCUCAAAACAAUUGGCAGCCGGCGUAUUGAUUUCGGAGCGCAGUACAUCUCGCGCUUUGCACUCAGAACGACGACGUCCAAAAGUACAUUUUUACACUCUUGACCUCGGAUCAGGUAGGGAUACCCGCUGAACUUAAGCAUAUCAAUAAGCGGAGGA